rnacentral:rRNA from 1 species
UAGGGAAUCUUCGGCAAUGGACGGAAGUCUGACCGAGCAACGCCGCGUGAGUGAAGAAGGUUUUCGGAUCGUAAAGCUCUGUUGUUAGAGAAGAACGUUGGUAGGAGUUGAAAAUCUACCAAGUGACGGUAACUAACCAGAAAGGGACGGCUAACUACGUGCCAGCAGCCGCGGUAAUACGUAGGUCCCGAGCGUUGUCCGGAUUUAUUGGGCGUAAAGCGAGCGCAGGCGGUUCUUUAAGUCUGAAGUUAAAGGCAGUGGCUUAACCAUUGUACGCUUUGGAAACUGGAGGACUUGAGUGCAGAAGGGGAGAGUGGAAUUCCAUGUGUAGCGGUGAAAUGCGUAGAUAUAUGGAGGAACACCGGUGGCGAAAGCGGCUCUCUGGUCUGUAACUGACGCUGAGGCUCGAAAGCGUGGGGAGCAAACAGG